rnacentral:rRNA from 1 species
UUGACCUCAAAUCAGGUAGGACUACCCGCUGAACUUAAC